UGCAAUUCUUCUGCCCUUGCACCG
rnacentral:piRNA from 2 species